CUAGGACUAUAAGCCUUUCUUUUCACAGGAAACCCUCCUAAUUGGUCUGAUAAACUUUCUGGGACUCAAAAUAGAACCACAGCACAGCCUUGCAUCCCAGGGAUGAAGCAGACUUGAUCAUGGUGGAUACGCUUUGUGAUGGACUGCCCAACAGUUUUAAAUGUAAAUUGAAAGACCCCAGUACUGGUCCAAGCCCUGAAGACUGCACCCAGGAAAGUGGAGGUAUGGACAGAGGCAGCCGGUGCCUGAGGAAGCUCCACGGGGCAGGCAAGGCCCCCACGUCCAGUCUCAGCCCCUCUUUUGGCCACAUGCCGGAGAAGGAAAUUUUGUGCCUUGAAUAAUGAAUCCCCCUGGAGCCCACGGUACCUGUACUUCUCUUUAGUGUCCACUGAGAAUAACGUGUUCGACAUUCAAGUGACAACACUGGAAAGCAUUUCAAAGCCCUGGAGCCCCAGAACGCUGUACACCCCGACGGCUCUUCUGCCUGCCCUCUCUUUGGCUUCCAAAUGCAGCAAGCUCUUUCUUUACUUAAAAUGUGUUCAUCUUUCACACGCAUCCUGGAUGUACCACAGAAAGACAGUACAGAUAGGCAGGCUCUUAUUUCUGAAGCUGAGCUGGUCCCGCCCAGCACAAAGCUUUAAAGCUGCUAAGGCUCCAGGAUAUUAUCCAGUUUUUAAAAAUGGAAAAACUGGGAACAGGGAGGCUCAAUAUCUUGUCCCAGGCCCAAACAGGCUUUUCUGGAGUCAGUAUCAUUCAACUGGCUCAGGCUGGAUUUUCAUAAGAAAAGAUAAUAAACAUUUACUAAUGUAAUAAAAUAGACACCUUUUAAGUCACAAGCAGUAUCCAAACCUUUGGGACAUUCUAUGGUGCUGAACAGCUAUUUCAUAGAGGCUUUAUGUUAAGGAGCAAGUGCAGAAAAAAAUCUGAAAAUCUCAGUAAGAUGAGAAAACGAAAGCUUUACAAAAUGGUAGAAGAAAGUAGUCUCUCAUGCCUAAACUUCCAAAUAAGUUUUUGUUUGUUUGUUUUGGGUUUUUAGUUGAGCAUUCUUUCUGGUUUGAAAUAGAUUCAGAAGGCUUUUUAAAACAAGUCACUUUUGGCCAAAUAUAUUAAGGUAUAACCAAAUGAUACCAUAGAUCCAUUUAGAAAACAGAAAGUUCUUUACUGACAUGAAAGGAUUUCUAAGACAUAUUCAUAAGUAAAAAAGCAAAUAUACUACUAUUUGUAUGGGAUGAAAAAAUAAAAGAAACAUGUAUAUA
rnacentral:lncRNA from 10 species